CUUUGUUUGCAUAGACGUUCAACUUUGUAACUUCACCUUAGUCUCUGAGGGCCACAGCUUCAUUUACAUGAGGUGAACACAAAGUGGCCAAUGGGAAAUCUCUAGGGGGUAUUUGGACCUGAGAAGAUUCUAUAUCCAGGCCCUUGAGCUGCUGCCGCUGCCGGCUCCCACACUGUGGAGUGUACUUUCACUUUCAAUAAGUCUCUGCUUUUGUUGUAUCAUUCUUUCCUUGCUUUGCUGUGUGUUUUGUCCAAUUCUUUGUUCAAAAUGCCAAGAACCUGGCCAACUUGGAGUCAAGACCCUCUACCGACUAUCCAGCUGUGCUGAUUCCCUCAGUGAUCUGGAGGGGAUGAGGCAGGCGUUGGCCUCUUGGGCAAUGUCUUGUGAGUCUGAAGAAACCAGGCACUUACUUCACCCUUAUUUUUCCCCAUGGGAGAAAACUACAGGCUGAGGAGGUCUCUCUUGACAUUAAGCUGUGCUGCCUUGAGGGAGAGAUGAUGCAGAACAAAGAAGAAAAAAUUUCUUUUAAAGAAAGGCCAAAGAAUUAUUAUAGAUCUUUUCUUUCGACAUUCCUAAACAAGAACAGGCCUAGAUGGUGUCAUUUUCAAUUCUUGUCCUAACUGGGUGCAGUCACCAAAUGAAUGAAAGAAGAGGAAUUACAGCCAGAGAGAGUGUGAUGAGAGAGAUGGACUGUGAACCUAGUACAUUUGAUUUUAAACAUAUGACAUUGCCCUUCUAUAUUUUCUGAAGAGAUUGCUAACCUAUUGAAGUGGUUGCUUAGCCACGGAUGUGCUUUUCUGCAUACGAUUAAACUAUGUUAUCUUCCCUUCC
rnacentral:lncRNA from 1 species